GCGAAUCUUUGUACUCUUCUUCGCUUUGCCUCGCUCUGCACGCACGGCCACCCAUCGUCGUCUCCAGUCUCCACCCCUCUUCUUCCUCCAUUGGUGGUGUACGCUUGCCUCCGUCUCAGCUUCGUUUUCAGAUGUCUCCUCGUCGUCGAAGCCGGGAGAAAUUAACCGUGCGUGUUUGCCAUGAUCGAUUGUUUUGUCCAGGUUAGUCUCCCGUGCUUUCGCCGGAAACUUUCAGUUUGUUUCUGCAGCGUUUCUUACUUUGAUCUGCAAUCUGUAUAAUAUGUAGCAAUUUGAGCGAACAGUAAAGAAUUACUGAGCCAUGUCAGAGUGUGUUCUGAACUUCUUGUUGGAAGAGCAGCGAGGCGCUGUGGAUGAGGAUCGAUUUUAAUGAUGAAUCCAUUAUUAUUGGCUUCGAUUAAUCCACUCGAGUGUGGAAGUUAAUGAUGUCCUCUUAAUCUGUGACACACGUCACCUGGAACAGCCUUUCCACAUUCAAAUUUGGGACAAUUUGCAACUUCAGAGUUCAGACUUCAUGCCAUGGAGGAGAAACGUCCAGAGGUAUUCCGGCUAGUUUUAUAAGGUGGUGGGCUAGACAACCUGAGAUUAAAUCCUUACCCCUUCUAAUUAUUUGAUAUUUUGUCAUUUCCUAAUAUUUGCGUACUUCAGGUCAUGAGAUAAUUAUAUAGAAUCCGGCAGCAGUUUUUCGAGUUGAAAAAUUGAACUAGAAAUUCCUGGAGAGGCCACAUUUUACGUGAGAGUGAGACACGGCGGCGGCGGCAAACCCCGGCAGGCCGGCAAAGCGGCAGCGGCGGCGAGGUCACCUACACCGUCCGAUCGGAUACGCGCGGUUCAGAUUGGGAACAGUUGAGAUUUUAGAGGUACGUUUAGAGUAUAAACCCUUUAUACUACUAUAUGGAGAGUGAAUUCUAAUCCCUCGAUGUUUGCAUGUCAUUUAAAUUAUUAUAAAAAGAAUGAUAAUAAAUUUAACAAGAUGGAUUAAUAUGUGAUAGAUCACUCUAUCAACAUGUAAGUUAAAAUUCAAUUUCUACUAGUUGUAAUAAAAAACAAAUUAAACUAUGGCUAGUUAAUAUAUAUAUUCAUAGUUAAAUUUAUUAUUUUCGUUGUAACUUGUAGAAGUUAAAUUUGAUGUUGUAAAGUUAUUUAUCAUAUAUUAAUUUAUCUCGUUGAUUUUUUUAAUUUUUUCAUAAUCAUUUAAAUGGCAUACAAAUAAUAAAGGGACUGUUUUUAUUAUCCUGGUCAGAUCAGUUCGUGUAGCGAUUGAAAAGUACGAGCCGUCCGAUUGGGUACAUGUGGUCUGGAUGGUGAUGAGGGGCUUUUCGUAGAAAUUUGCCUUGAGAUUCCGGUUGACAACCUUGGCGUCACAAUAUUGCUAACUAAUGAACAUGGAUUUUGCAUCGAGUUUACAAAUUUGCGAAGUUCCUGUUCUAGUUUUAUCUUGUUUUUGGUUUUUUGAAACGGUAAGGCGGCAAAAGCUCUGCCGAAAUUUGUAGAAGGGUCCAUAGCAGAGCUUUUACACGACGUAGGGUCUGUUUGGUUCUUGGCCACGUUUUGCCAAACCUAAGCUUAGACCUGCAGCAAGUACUUAGGUUGGUAUUUGCUUUUCUACUAACCAUAGGCUUGCCCUAACUUGAUAGGCAUGUUUCUGCAAGUUCGCUGUGUCUUUUUUUUUUUGCCAGAUCUGUGGCGUUCUUUUUCUCCGCCACAAGUGCGGCUUACUUUAGGCAUGGUAACUUUAGUCCCCAAACCAAACAGGCCCGUAGUCCUUUGAAGUUAAGAAGAUAAUCAGAAGUACAAAAAAAAUUCAGAUUACAGCUUAGGGAGGUUCAAAAAUGAAUUUUUGCUGGUCCAUCCUUUCGAAAAUCAGAUAAAAGCCACCUGAUUCGCCGACAUGCUUUUAUGUAACCUGGAAGAUGUUUCUCUCCAGCCAUACGUUGCACAUUGUGAAGAUUUGGUAACUUUAGGCUCUUUGGGCUUAAUCAUAGACAAGGAGAUCCACCAAUCCUUGUGUUCCAAAGAGGGAUCAGGAACAAGUUAGUCCAAACCUUUUCAUAUACAGAUUGUUUGCCAGACCGAUCGGGUGAAUUGGCAAUGAAUGAAAAGGUUACUGUUCUUGUUUUGUUAGACCAGUUAAUUAUGAUACGAUUUAUGCACUCUUUUAUAGCUUUUUGUGUCGUUCAGUGGGCGUUUACACAUAUUACUGUUACUUAUAAUUACAUACAUAUAUCAUGCAGGGAACCAGGUUUAUUAUUGAUGGGAAUAAUCACAUUUCAUGCUGAUACAAAAGAAUGGCGACAGCAUAAGGCCGUGAUACGGUAACAACAUUUACACUCAUACGGGUACAUCAGUUUGUGCAUUUCUGCCCUGGGACGCUUCUGUCCAAG
rnacentral:lncRNA from 1 species